GGGUCUGUCCCUUCCAGGCGGGGGUAGCGUACUAAAUUGGCCAGCUGGAACAUGUCAGCACUGAGCCCCAAGUCCCUCUGUCUGGAGGAUUUGAUUUUGAUGCCACGAAGGCGAACAUCAAUCCCAUCAUCUCUGCACUCCACAAUCCGGAUCUCGAUGACAGGCAGGUGUGUUGUCAUGUCCUCAAGGACGCACACAUCCCCAAUGUAACUCUCAUCAAUGCCAACAUCGUUCAGUUUCUUCAGAUUGUCCC
rnacentral:lncRNA from 1 species